GGGGGCGAAACGGCUUCGACGGGGAUCGUGAAGCCGGGGUUGCACGCCGAGGUCCCACAUACCUCGUAAAACCGUGGACCUAAACUCAAGUGCCAACGAUAACGUUGCACUGGCUGCGUAAAAACGCGUAGCCCGUCCGCCGCUUCCUCCUCCCGCUGGAAGCGGGCCGGGCGCCGAUUCGCGGGAUGGUCAUUGGAUCUGCCUGGUAUCCUUUGACGAGACUUACAGGCUGGCCGCGCGUCACCCUGCCGGACCGGGGGUCGCAAGGCGAGAUCAAAUGGCCCGGCUAAGCGUGUAGAGACUCCAGGUGGAUCAUUUCCGGACGCGGGUUCGACUCCCGCCGCCUCCACCA
rnacentral:tmRNA from 1 species